CCUACGGGAGGCAGCAGUGGGGAAUAUUGGGCAAUGGGCGCAAGCCUGGCCCAGCAACGCCGCGUGAAGGAAGAAGGCUUUCGGGUUGUAAACUUCUUUUGUCAGGGAAGAGGAGAAGACGGUACCUGACGAAUAAGCCACGGCUAACGACGUGCCAGCAGCCGCGGUAAUACGUAGGUGGCAAGCGUUGUCCGGAUUUACUGGGUGUAAAGGGCGUGUAGCCGGGUUGACAAGUCAGAUGUGAAAUCCUGCGGCUUAACCGCAGAACUGCCUUUGAAACUGUUGAUCUUGAGUACUGGAGAGGCAGCUGGAAUUCCUAGUGUAGCGGUGAAAUGCGUAGAUAUUAGGAGGAACACCAGUGGCGAAGGCGGUCUGCUGGACAGCACCUGACGGUGAGGCGCGAACGCGUGGGGAGCAAACAGGAUUAGAUACCCCUGUAGUC
rnacentral:rRNA from 1 species